UUUCCGUAGGUGAACCUGCGGAAGGAUCAUUAAUGAGUUGUCAUGGGGUUCGAUGCUGGCAGCCAAUUUUUGGAUGCAUGUGCUUGCCCUAACAAUCAUCUUCCAAACACCUGUGCACAUUUUUGAGGGAGUCUUGGGUUGGUUGCCGCUCUUGGGUGAUUUUCUCACAUUCCCUUAAAUCAUUAUACGCUAUUAACAAUGUUGAACGUGCUCUGUGCCGCAAGGCUAUUAAUAUAAUACAACUUUUAACAACGGAUCUCUUGGCUCUC
rnacentral:misc_RNA from 1 species